rnacentral:lncRNA from 1 species
CCCAUUAUUUCCUCUCUCUUCUUUCCUUCCAUCACUCUCUCUUCUCUCUCUCCCAAGACUACUGAUGCCGCCCCAUCGCUGCCGUUGGAAAUCGUCCACCCGCAACGGCCGACCUCCAAUCCACCCUAAAAUUUAAUCAUGUAAUCUCCAUCACCUCUUCUUUCCAUAUCUCCAAACCAUAUCUUUCAAAAAACUCUCAAACUUCUUGAAUCUUAGAUCUAAGAAAUUUUUCCAUCACUUUUUUGCCCAAGUUAUUGAAGUUCUGGCCACUACCACCCCACAAUACAUACAUCAACAGAUAGAGCUCCUCAAGACCUAGCUAUUGAUGUCAAUUCUACUUCAAAAAUCCGGCGACCAAAAUCCGGCCAAAUUCCGGCGACCUCUCCGAACAUCCUUCUUGGCAUACCACCAUUUGUUCGGCCAUUUAAAUUGUAAAAUGGUAAAAUACUAUUCCUUUUUAUGGCUGAUUUUUAUUUUUAAUUUUUAUUUUUCAGAUUUUUAUUUAUUAUUAAUUAUUUAGCGUUAGUUUUUAAAGUUUGAAAUGUUAAAUUUUCUGUUUUUGCACUUGUUGAAAUAGUAAAAUAGUUUUGUACUGAUAAAAGUGAAAUAGUGAAAAAUACUUAAGAGUAUAUGGUAUUUGUUUGUUUGUUUAUUUACUACUUCAAGACUUUUUGAGCACAAAAUUCAAAAGUCAUUUGUUUCGUAAGAAAUAUAGACUUUUGGACAAUUUUUGAACAAAAGUCUAUCCUUGAACAACAAACUGUACAUUUUUGUUUGAAAUACUCUCUUUUUGACAAGAUUUGAUGAAAAAAGUCUUGUUCUUUGAAUUUAAGAGCAGACUUUGUAGAAAAUAUGAUAAAAAGAUUAUUUUUUGAAUUUUUGAAAUAGCUAUUUGUUGUGAUAUAUAUAGAUGGAAUCACACUUCCAAAAGGCAGAGAGGAGAAUUGCAAAAACACACAAAAAAGAAAGAGAAGGAAAAAUAGGAGGAGAAGAAAAAAGAAGGGAGAGGAAAGAGCAGUAUACACUUGAUAUACACUCUGGAUACACUCUGUAUGCGCUGACAGAAUUUAAUGUUUGGAGAAUUUCAGCAGUAUACACUCAAUAUAACUCUGGAUACACCUGGUAUACAUGGACAGAAUUUAAUUUUGGAGAGUUUAAGAGAGUUAAAAGCUAGAAAGAGAAAAUAAAGAGAGAUUUCCUGAAUAUUUUUCUUCUCUAUUUUUUACUAGUUUUCUCCGUGUUGCUGGGAUUUCUGGAUUGCGGUGUUGAAACUACUGUGUUGGUUGUUACUAUUGUUGUUAUUGUUUGCUACUGCUCUGCUGAUUCUCAUCUUCCUCUUCUUUUGCUUUUAAUACCAGGUACACUUUCGAAUCACUACGAUGUAGCUAUAAGAUGUACAAGUGAAAUGAAAUGCUAG